rnacentral:rRNA from 1 species
UCUCCUGCUACGACUCCGUGAGGAGGGCGAGUACACUGUGGAGACCGCUGGCGCUAAGUCAGAGGAAGGAUUGGUCGACGGUAGGUCAGUAUGCCCCGAAUAUCCCGGGCUACACGCGGGCUACAAUGGAUAGGACAAUGGGUAACCACACCGAAAGGUGGCGUCAAUCUCUUAAACCUAUCCGUAGUUCGGAUUGAGGGCUGGAACUCGCCCUCAUGAAGAUGGAAUCCGUAGUAAUCGCAUUUCAAAACAGUGCGGUGAAUACGUCCCUGCUCCUUGCACAAAAA